GGAAAAUAGCUUACUAUUAAAAGCAUUUAAGAAUUCUUUUGAGAUGUGGUCACAAUAGACAUGAAAUAGAACACUCAAAAGCUAAGGUAAAAUCUGAUUUCAGAACAUUGGAAAGUAAGGGAAUUCAACAAAAACUUUAAGAAGCGUGGUUCUCCUCGGCAGCAGCUUCAAAAGUUUCACCAGCCACAAGUUCUGGUACAUCAUCAUCGUCUUCCUGUGCUGCAACAGCACCUGCAGCUGCAUCGGCAGCACCAGGUGCCUGCUUCUGGAACUGCUCGGCCAACUUCUUCAAAUUCUCCAAAUUAUCAGGGCCCAACUGGUGAAUGAUCUGAGGAAGAAUAUCCUGCAAUUUCUUUGUCUGGGGAGUACCACUAACAACCCAUGUGUUUGCAGCAAUUGAUGCUUGAACUUUGGGGUUAACGAAUUGGAUAACAACAUCCUCCUUGAAAAUGUUGACUUCUUCAAUGGCAGGAAUGCCAUUGACACCUAUUCUUUUCAAGGUGCUCUGUAGUCUUUUGUCGUCAGUUGUAGUUGUCUUGUGUACGGCCUUCUUCUUUCUUCUCAUGGUACCCUUUCCACCGGUUCUGACCGAACCGGCCAUCUUUUGCAACUUUUCUACAUUCAUCUUGUGAAGAGAAGACUGAGCUAAAACCCUAGCCGCAGAGAAGAUGGAAAAAAGAAUGAAAGACAAG
rnacentral:misc_RNA from 1 species